UGAAUACUGAAGGGUUGGUAGGGGACCAGAGAAUAGAGGAAGCAUUGUAGGUUCUAGAGUGGAGAAGGGACCAUCCAAAAUGGAGUUUGAAAGAGAAUUCUGGCCUUUGUGUUUAGAGUCUGGAAUUGUCAAGAGUCUGAAAGCACAGAAUAAGACUGCAGCUAGAGCAAUUUAGGCGCCAUAGUUUGUCAAAACAGAGUGGGAGGCAUAACUGCUUUGCCUCCAGUCAUCAUCUGGGGGCAUAUCUACUCUUCGAGGACCAGGGGUUCGGGACCCUGGAACAGGAUCUGAAUUCCAAGCUGACCUCAGGGGUACAUGAAGACUGCUAGAUGAGACGGGAUCUCACUGUGUUGCCCAGGCUGGUCUCGAACUGCUGGACUCAAGUCAUCCUCCCAUCUUGGCCUCCCAAAGUGCUGGAAUUACAGUGGACAACCUUCAAUGCACUGGUACUUUGUACCCUGACCUCUACUGUGAUGAACACUCAACUUGGGCAAGGAAGUGAAAUUCUCCAAAGCAAGGAGGAGGGUGCUCUGAAUAGAUGGACCCUGAUUCUACUUACAAAACUGUGGGAAGAAACCGGAGCUUCCUCCCUCUCUGAGACAACGGUGCCACUGAGACUGCGCCCAGCACCUUAGCACCUGAGGCUGCUACCUGAGAAGUACGCACUGUUCUGGCUUCAUGGAGACCAUGCUCCAUUUCUGCUGUUGAAGUCUUUGAGAGACCAGGAUCAUGGGCUGAGUGCAACCUCCUCCCCAUGCCAUCUGCAGA
rnacentral:lncRNA from 1 species